rnacentral:lncRNA from 1 species
GCAGAGUACAGGAAUGUUCUGGCCCUGUUCUUGCCUGACGUCUGUGCUGAGCCUUGCGGCUGAGGCCUGGCUGACAGUGGCUAAAAAUACCUGAGCUGGGCCUGGAGAUCUCACACAGGAAACUGCUAUCCAGAGUGGUGUCCGCAGAGCUGGUGGCAUUCGGGGCCUGGUUGGGCAGGACGCCUGAACCUGAACUGGCUCAGGUGCGGUGGGUGCGGUGGAGCUGGCUGGGGUCUCUGAUGCACUUGCCUGAGCUGCGUGCUGCUUACCUCUGUCUUCUGAAACCAAACCAAGGGCAUGUUCUUCCAGAUGACUGUUAUGUCACAGGUGACAUCUGGGGAACCCAAGAGUGCCAGGGAAGAGUCUCCCUAAAGCUGUGGACACCUGGCUGCUGCCCUGACAAGGCAUCUAUCUGGUUUCCCACAAAAUGAGAUCUCAGAACACAUCACUCACUGGUCAGAGGACUACUUAAUAAACUGUGACCAACAGCAACUGAGAACAACCACUUCCAACCACCAACAUUUAUAUUCCUUCUGAAAGAUUCCCAGAUUCCAAAUAUCAGGCAAUUGCAGAAACUAUCUGCAGCUGCCAAAAUCACACCCCCUCCAGAGCAUGAGGCAAAUCAUAGCCAGCUGCUGUUAUGAAGCAGCCCCCCAUAUCCCACAUCUGUGAUUAAAAUGAAAACACAUUCUUAUAAUAGGUCUCUGUUUUCUUUUUUUUUAAGAAACCAAAAUUCCAUAUUUCCCAC